rnacentral:rRNA from 1 species
AACGAACGCUGGCGGCAGGCUUAACACAUGCAAGUCGAAAGCAUCAUUCGGGGUGAGUGGCAGACGGGUGAGUAACGCGUGGGAACGUGCCCUUCAGUUCGGGAUAACCCAGGGAAACUUGGGCUAAUACCGGAUACGUGCGAGAGCAGAAAGAUUUAUCGCUGAAGGAUCAGCCCGCGUCUGAUUAGCUAGUUGGUGGGGUAAUGGCCCACCAAGGCGACGAUCAGUAGCGGGUCUGAGAGGAUGAUCAGCCACAUUGGGACUGAGACACGGCCCAAACUCCUACGGGAAGCAGCAGUGGUGAACAUUGGACAAUAGGCGCAAGCCUGAUCCAGCCAUGCCGCGUGAGUGAUGAAGGCCUUAGGGUUGUAAACCUCUUUCAGCAGCGACGAAGCGCAAGUGACGGUAGGUGCAGAAGAAGGACCGGCCAACUACGUGCCAGCCGCCGCGAUAA